rnacentral:rRNA from 1 species
UGGGAAUUUUGGACAAUGGGCGAAAGCCUGAUCCAGCAAUGCCGCGUGUGUGAAGAAGGCCUUCGGGUUGUAAAGCACUUUUGUCCGGAAAGAAAUCCUUGGCUCUAAUACAGUCGGGGGAUGACGGUACCGGAAGAAUAAGCACCGGCUAACUACGUGCCAGCAGCCGCGGUAAUACGUAGGGUGCAAGCGUUAAUCGGAAUUACUGGGCGUAAAGCGUGCGCAGGCGGUUUGCUAAGACCGAUGUGAAAUCCCCGGGCUCAACCUGGGAACUGCAUUGGUGACUGGCAGGCUAGAGUAUGGCAGAGGGGGGUAGAAUUCCACGUGUAGCAGUGAAAUGCGUAGAGAUGUGGAGGAAUACCGAUGGCGAAGGCAGCCCCCUGGGCCAAUACUGACGCUCAUGCACGAAAGCGUGGGGAGCAAACAGGAUUAGAUACCCUGGUAGUCCACGCCCUAAACGAUGUCACUAGUUGUUGGGGAUUCAUUUCCUUAGUAACGUAGCUAACGCGUGAAGUUGACCGCCUGGGGAGUACGGUCGCAAGAUUAAAACUCAAAUGAAUUG